UAUAUAUAUAUAUAUAUAUAUAUACACAAUAUAUAUAUAUAUAUAUGUCGGAGAUGAAAGAACACCGGAGCCUUUGGAAUUUUGGAUAACCCCGCAACAUUGUAACCUAGAGUCUACUAUAGCUGUAACUGAACAAUUGUAGUUAUUCAACCCGAUUGUAAUUAUUCGAGAAUUGUGAUAAUGAGCUUGGGCUCGAGGCGACAGUCAGUCGCCGAACGUAGCCGCGGUCACGGGAUGAACGCUUUGCCUGACAGAGGUAUGAAGUAAUUCUAUAGCUCUCCUUAAAAGAAAUAUUUGUGGCGACACGCGACAGUAAACAUUCCAACGGUUUCUGUCCCGUGGCUCGCCACGUGCAGACCCUAUUCUUCGAGUAAGAUGAUUGCCAGAUGUCGAUGCGUCUCCGCAGUACAUGUUCGGCUAGCCCGAGGGCCCGUUAUAAAUCUUAAGGUUUAGUUAACUAAAGUCCUUCAAACAGACAAACAGUCUUUGUCCCAACUACGGGAAGAUAGGGGAGACAUAUUUUUCAACGAGCGGCGUCUCCCACUAGCAACUUUCCCUCGAGGGCGGCUAACAUCUUUUUCUAACCACCGAUAUAGAGAUUGACCAAUUAGCAGCAACGUCAAUUUCCCUUACUUCCUAAACGAAGGCUUUCCUCGACGAAUCCGAUGAUCUCGUGUCCUUAGACACACCCCAUUAUAGUUUUCCUCUGUGACAUCGUCGGGACGGGACGGGCAUUCUUUUACGCGCUCCCGUCGACCAAAGAGUAACGUCUUUACGCUCAGCAAUUAUUUUUACGAGUCAGACUUAGAUUCAGCGAGAACGCCCAUCUGUCAUCCCGUUGGCCGCGGAUUCGUUAUUGAACCGGAGACCACUGUCACUAGUGUCGCGGACGUCUCACCGCCGUGGUAGAUUGUCAAAACCUGUGUUAUUCAUACCUGUGUCAAUAAAUCGUAUCUUCGUUACACCGCAACGAUGGCUACCUUCAAUGAAGACUCCUCA